rnacentral:rRNA from 1 species
GAGGUUACUGCUAUCGGUGUUCGCCUGACCCAUGCGAGUCAUAUGUUCUUCGUCAACAUGGCGUACUGAUCAGUAACACGUGGAUACCCUGUCUUUGGGUCGCGGCAUACCCCCGGGAAACUGGGGAUAUCUCCGGAUCACGCACAUAUGCUAGAUUGCUUUAUGCGUCAAAUGGAUUCGUCCCCCCAAGGAUGUGUCUGCGCCCUAUCAGGUAGUAGUGGGUGUAAUGUACCUACUAGCCUACGACGGGUACGGGUUGUGAGAGCAAGAGCCCGGAGAUGGAUUCUGAGACAUGAAUCCAGGCCUUACGGGGCGCAGCAGGCGAGAAAACUUUACAAUGCGGGAAACCGUGAUAAGGGGACACCGAGUGCCAGCAUCAUAUGCUGGCUGUCCGGGUGUGUAAAAUACACCUGUUGGCAAGGGCCGGGCAAGACCGGUGCCAGCCGCCGCGGUAACACCGGCGGCCCGAGUGGUGAUCGUGAUUAUUGGGUCUAAAGGGUCCGUAGCCGGUUUGGUCAGUCCUCCGGAAAAUCUGACGGCUUAACCGUUAGGCUUUCGGGGGAUACUGCCAGACUUGGAACCGGGAGAGGUAAGAGGUACUACAGGGGUAGGAGUGAAAUCUUGUAAUCCCUGUGGGACCACCUGUGGCGAAGGCGUCUUACCAGAACGGGUUCGACGGUGAGGGACGAAAGCUGGGGGCACGAACCGGAUUAGAUACCCGGGUAGUCCCAGCCGUAAACGAUGCUCGCUAGGUGUCAGGCAUGGCGCGACCGUGUCUGGUGCCGCAAGGAAGCCGUGAAGCGAGCCACCUGGGAAGUACGGCCGCAAGGCUGAAACUUAA